rnacentral:lncRNA from 1 species
UUGAUCGAGUGGCGGACGAUGACUCGCGUACGUUGCCUGCUACAGCCACAUCGGACGCGCGCCUUCGUGUUCGCUCUGAAAAGUGAUUUCUUCCUCCAUUUAUCGAUCACUCGUGUUGUUCGCGUGACUCAAUGUCGAGUGUGCUUCCGAAGACAAUGCUCGACACCUGGUGUGACAAGCAGUGACUGAUGUUAUGCGAAAGCGUGAGCUUUUUGACGGGCGACUGAAGAGUGCACAGCCUAUGCCAAAACUUCGGAAGUGAUGGCCCGGACGGCUUGUUGGCACAGCGGGGAUGAGGAACCAGAGACCCGAUAGGCAGAUGUAUCAGCGAUGGCAGCUGUUCAUGGUCCCGACGCAGAGGACAGGUUGCAGUGUGCGAUUGGAACGGUCUUCCUGCAAGCCCUAACGAGCCUUAUUAAGCGGUAGGCAUUUCUUUUUGUUACCACAAAGUGAUAUUUUGGACACAUAGCACCUAAUGAGGUAU